UUUUAUGGAGAAGGACAUGAAAACGAGAGGUGUUCCUUGGAAGGGUCAAGUGAAGAAGCCCAUUUUACCAAUUUUCAGAAGAAUAACCCUUAUUCCAAUACCUACAAUCCGGGAUGAAAGCAUCACCCAAAUUUCCGAUGGAGCAAUAAACAAAAUUUAAGUGCAAAUCAAGGUAUGCAACAAGGCCAACAAGCUACAAUCCAAAGGAAGCCUUUACAGCUGGAAGCGACCC
rnacentral:lncRNA from 1 species